GACGAACGCUGGCGGCGUGCUUAACACAUGCAAGUCGAACGGAAAGGCCCUGCUUUUGUGGGGUGCUCGAGUGGCGAACGGGUGAGUAACACGUGAGUAACCUGCCCUUGACUUUGGGAUAACUUCAGGAAACUGGGGCUAAUACCGGAUAGGAGCUCCUGCUGCAUGGUGGGGGUUGGAAAGUUUCGGCGGUUGGGGAUGGACUCGCGGCUUAUCAGCUUGUUGGUGGGGGAGGGGCUUACCAAGGCUGUGACGGGUAGCCGGCCUGGGAGGGUGACCGGCCACAAUGCGCCUGAGAUACGCACCAGACUCCUACGUGGGGCAGCAGUGGGGAAUAUUGCACAGUGGGCGCGAGCCUGAUGCAGCAGCGCCGCGUGCGGGAUGACGGCCUUCGGGUUGUAAACCGCUUUCGCCUGUGACGCAGCGUGAGUGACGGUAAUGGGUAAAGAAGCACCGGCUAACUACGUG
rnacentral:rRNA from 1 species